rnacentral:lncRNA from 1 species
GGCAGUCACAACUCUGCUCUCAGAACUGAACUUUCUUUUAUUCAUUCGGCAAAUGUGCAUUGAGUACUUAUUAGGAUUGCUAUGCUAGGUGCUGGGAUUCUAACAUGGAAGGUGACUUGGCCAUUGUCCUCAGAAACUAACAAACUACUGGAGGAAAUAAGCCAAUGGGCCACUUAGGGCAGUUGAAUAAGUGCUCCGAUAAAGGUUUUAGAGGGCUCUGAGGCAGGGAAGAGGGGGAGAAGCAUGUUUAGCCUGCAGAAUAGGAGGUCAGAGAGGAUGCUUGAGCUAAGUAUUGAAGAGUGAAGAGUACAGAUAGAGUGAACAGAACAUACAAGGUCAGAGGUGUGGAACCACAUGACCUUCAGGAAAAUUACGAAUGACUCUGUAUGAACAAAGUGAAGGCUGUGGGAGACCAGUGGGAGGGCUAGAGAGGAGCCAGGUUAAAAGGGUCUCAGAUUCAAGGAGUUCUGAAUUUACCCUGAAGGCUUAGUGAUGUGCUUGGUCAAGCACAACUGUGACCCAGAGUGUUCCCUCUCUCUCCUUGUCAUAGCAUUGUGCAUAUCCCUCUAUUAAAGCAUUUAUUACAAAUGCCUUAACUGCAUAUUCUUCUGUCAUAGCAUUUAUCACAAUUCUAAUUUCCUUUUUUUUUUUUUAAAUUCUAAUUUCCAUAUGGAGUAUUGCUGAAGAGAAAGCAAAAUGGAGAUGAGACCAGGUUGCAGUAAUCCAAGCAAGAAGUGACUGUGAGGAAGGCAUGGUCCUACAGAAACAGCUCUUCUGGCACGAUGGUGACCUGCCAUGGAAAAUGCUGGGUCCCAACGCCCAAGGGACUGUAGCUGUGGUUCAGCCAGUACCUGAGCAUUUAGAUCACCUGUUGUCAGACGUGCAACACUGUCAACAUAGGAGCCACAGCCUGCAAGACUCACCCCUGAACACAAUGAACACUUAG